UCAGCAGGAGAAAAUAAAAUACAGCACAACUUUAAUGUGAAGAAGUAUGUUCUGCCCAAAUUUGAUGUAACAAUAAAUGUAAAAGAAGAAGUUAGUGUUGGGCAGGAAGGAACUGAAGCUAAAGUGUGUGGAAAGUACACAUACGGACAGCCUGUGCCAGGAAGUGUUACUGUGAAAAUGUGCCGACCUUUUUAUGACUCCACUCCCAAGAGUCAGAGGAAAAAACCUCUUUGUGACAUUCAGACACAGAAGGCAGACAAAACAGGAUGUAGUACUUUUGAAUUCCAAAUGUCAAUUUUCACAAGAGGCGGUCAAAGAAGAUUCGAACAUAAACUUGAUGUCACUGCCACAGUGGAAGAGGAAGGAACAGGUACAUCACUCUCACAAGUGAAGCAAAUUCAAAUCUCAUAU